UUGCAGCUUUAAUAAUUGCCUUUGGUCUAUUGCACAAUGGCUAUAACUGCCAGUUCCUUGGUAGUAUAUGCAUCCUGUUCCUUGUAUGGAUCACCCUAAGGGACUUUGGAGAUGGCC
ensembl:snoRNA SNORA70 Small nucleolar RNA SNORA70